UCGUCCAAACCCUAACGCAGUCAUCCAUCUUCCUCUGGCUCGGGCUCCUCGCCGGCCACAGGCCACGGAAAGCGGAAUUUUCCGCCCCACGCGUCGAGGCGAAACCGCCAAGAAGGGGAUACCAAGAGCCCUGGCCCACUUAACCCCCGAGCUGAAUAGAAAAAGCCGCCAUCCUCAACAACCCCGCGCUGCUGAGAGCCCGCCCUAAGACCGGGUGGCUACAGACUCAGGGGCGAGGAAUCUAUACCAGGAAUGCAAACUGUUGUCUUCAAAGACACUGCUGAGUUGGGGAGCCUGGGACAGGGCCAGGGUUUUCUACUGGUUCAUCAAAACCUAAUGAAAAAUUGGGUCCACCACCUGGAGGCCACAAAACCCAGGACUGUUCCUGCUAUUGGGGUCAGUGCCUUUGAAGGUGGAGAUGGUGGUCAUGUUGCCAAGGAGUAAGAAACAGAGGAAAAUGUACCAGAAUAUCAUCUCUGUUCACUGAGUUACUGAAUGGUAUGCCGGCAUUUAAAUAUUUUUCCACUAUAAUCACUAACUUCUCUUACUGGUAAUCCUGGGAGCCACUGGUUUUGCGGCUAGAGAUGGUCUCGUAUCAGAAAGUCCUGAGUUCGUGAGAUCACCAGCUAUAUGUCUUCAGCAAACUAAACUUCACUGAGUCCAAAUUUCCUAAUCUGAAAUGAGGCUGGUUUGAAGCUUCAAUGGGCUCCUCCCACAGAAUUAGUCUAGGGCGCUGGUCUCACCUUUGAGACAGAAUUGGGGAGUCGGGCUGGCGAAGAAGACUUUGGAAGUAGACAGACAUGAGUUCAGUUUUCAGCUCAGAAACAUUACUAGUAUGUGAUCCUGAUAAAUUCCUUGACCCCUCGGUAUCUCAUUUCCUUAUGUGUAACAUAAUAAAAAGCAUAAUAGUACUGGCCCAAUUGGGUUACCAUGAGAAUAAAACAAGAUGAUAUAUGUAAAGGCUUAGCAAAGUAUUUGGCAUAUAAUAGGUGUUUAAAAAAUGGGAGCUAAAAAAUAAAGACUGUUUAUGACUCUAGAAUACAAAAAAAAAUAAUAAAAUAAAGAAAAUAAGGUAAACGGUCAUUAUCCUUAUUACAGAACCAGUUUCAAACACAGUCUGCCACAUCCUGCAAACAUAAGCUGGAGUUCUUUUGUUUCUUUUUCCACCUAACACACUGUAGGUCACACACUAUAAAUAAGAGAUCCC